GACGAACGCUGGCGGCGUGCUUAACACAUGCAAGUCGAACGGAAAGGCCCUGCUUUUGUGGGGUGCUCGAGUGGCGAACGGGUGAGUAACACGUGAGUAACCUGCCCUUGACUUUGGGGUAACUUCAGGAAACUGGGGCUAAUACCGGAUAAGAGCUCCUGCUGCAUGGUGGGGGUUGGAAAGUUUCGGCGGUUGGGGAUGGACUCGCGGCUUAUCAGCUUGUUGGUGGGGUAGUGGCUUACCAAGGCUUUGACGGGUAGCCGGCCUGAGAGGGUGACCGGCCACAUUGGGACUGAGAUACGGCCCAGACUCCUACGGGAGGCAGCAGUGGGGAAUAUUGCACAAUGGGCGGAAGCCUGAUGCAGCAACGCCGCGUGCGGGAUGACGGCCUUCGGGUUGUAAACCGCUUUCGCCUGUGACGAAGCGUGAGUGACGGUAAUGGGUAAAGAAGCACCGGCUAACUACGUG
rnacentral:rRNA from 1 species